AGAUUGGUCUUACAUCUUGGUGAAUGGGCUGCAACAGCGGAUCACAACCAGUGGUCUUAGUUAUUGUGGUCUUAGUUAUUAGAUCGCAGUAAUUGUUUCACUUUUCUUCUUUCUUUUCAAUACGUGUGUCAAAUGGGCAUGCUGGAUCGAUGAGAAGGCAUUUCUUGGUCUUAUUCUCAAUUACAGUGAUAUCAGAUGGAGAGAGGAUAACAUCUGGACUUACUCGUAGGCCGCUCCAGUUUUGCCUCAGAACUUGUAUAUGUGCUUCAGUUCUAACUGACACAUUCUUUCUGAGAAAAGAGGAAAAUUUUCAUAUUUUGAUGCCGGAGGGAAAAAAAGUAAUAAUAAUCAAAAAGAAAAUAAUGAUUAAAAAUAAAUAAAUUCUUAAAUCAAUAAGAAUAAGUGAUAUUAUUGCUGAACUUUAAAUUUAGUUAUGAUAGCAGAGAUCUUUUGUCAAAAGUAAGGAGUAUGAAAGAGGUUUUCCAGUGGAAUCUUGGAAGAUUACUGCGUAUUAAUCACCCAUUAAGAGAGUAGCCUAUCUGAGACCUAGAGAGGACAGCCCUUUGACAUAGG